AUGCAGAUAGGAGCGAAGGAGCUGAAAGGACUUUUAAAGGCCACGGAUUCCAACCUCUACCAUACAGAGGCCUUAAGUGUUUCGGUGAGGUGCCCAAGGAUUCACAGGGAAGGGGCAAAAUCAGAACCCCGCUCUCCUGACUCUGCCCACUCCCCGGUGGCUAGGGUGGGCCUGUCUCCUUCCUUACCCAGCUCCCUCCCUCUCCUCGGCGCCUGUGGCACUGAUUAGAACAGCACCCCACAAAGACACCCAUUUAAAAAACAAACAAAACCCAAGUGUAUUAAUAGCUAUAGUACUUCAUAUAGAAUGUACUCUUAAGACUUAAUAUUUAUUGCUCUAAGUGGACACCACUGAUUGCCAAUAAAGACUCAUUUUUCCCCCUA
rnacentral:lncRNA from 10 species